GGAGACCAGUCAAAGUCCAACUUGACAGUGGCCACAGCCCAUAGAGGGUGAUAGGCCCGUAAGACGGUACUCCGGCUCUGCUGAUCUCUUCCCUGAGUCGAGUUGCUUGAGAGUGCAGCUCAAAGCGCGAGGUAAACUCCUCGUAAGGCUAAAUAUCACCCCGAGACCGAUAGCAAACAAGUACAGUGAUGGAAAUUUGAAAAGAACUUUGAAGAGAGAGUUAACAGUACGUGAAACUGUGUGGCAGUAAACGGAGCCUUCCUCGAAGUUAACCGGUCGGACCCAUCCUAACGGCAUGGCGCAGCCCUCGCUCUUGGAUCAGCAAUGACCUUUUGCGGGGCGUCUUGCGUCGCUCGGCGGGUGCAUCUCCGACCGGUGUCACGAUAGGAACUCUUGAUUUGUCUGGACCUAAGGCCCGGGUCGAAGUUUUCCCUUCGGGGUCAGCCUCCCGGUGUCCUGGCUUCGGAUUCGAGAGGCAGCCACGGCGGGACUUGUACAGCAAGCAACGCUUUCUGUUGCGGUCCCCCGUUCCCUAUCGAGUAGGUCGGGCAGGCUCCGACCCGUCUUGAAACACGGACCAAGGAGUCUAACAUGUGUACGAGUCAUUGGGUCGUCUAGACCCAAAGGCGGAGUGAAAGCAAAGAGGUUCUUUGUAAUCUUUAGGGACGAUCCUCGUUUAGCGGGGCGCAGUC
rnacentral:rRNA from 1 species